rnacentral:rRNA from 1 species
GACAGAGGGUGCAAGCGUUGUUCGGAAUUACUGGGCGUAAAGGGCUCGUAGGCGGCCAACUAAGUCGGACGUGAAAUCCCUCAGCUUAACUGGGGAACUGCGUCCGAUACUGGAUGGCUUGGAUUCGGGAGAGGGAUGCGGAAUUCCAGGUGUAGCGGUGAAAUGCGUAGAUAUCUGGAGGAACACCGGUGGCGAAGGCGGCAUCCUGGACCGAGAUUGACGCUGAGGCGCGAAAGCCAGGGGGAGCAAACGGG